rnacentral:rRNA from 1 species
GACGAACGCUGGCGGCGUGCUUAACACAUGCAAGUCGAACGAUGACGACCGAGCUUGCUCGGUCUGAUUAGUGGCGAACGGGUGAGUAACACGUGAGCAACCUGCCCUUCACUCUGGGAUAACCUCGGGAAAUCGGGGCUAAUACCGGAUAUGAGCUCCUGUCGCAUGGCGGGUGUUGGAAAGUUUUUCGGUGAAGGAUGGGCUCGCGGCCUAUCAGUUUGUUGGUGAGGUAGUGGCUCACCAAGGCGAUGACGGGUAGCCGGCCUGAGAGGGCGACCGGCCACACUGGGACUGCGACACGGCCCAGACUCCUACGGGCGGCAGCAGUGGGGAAUAUUGCACAAUGAGCGAACGCCUGAUGCAGCGACGCCGCGUGAGGGAUGACGGCCUUCGAGUUGUAAACCUCUUUCUGCAGGGAAGAAGCGAAAGUGACGGUACCUGCAGAAGAAGCGCCGGCUAACUACGUG